GGGCGAAUGGUCUAGGGGUAUGAUACUCCCUUCGCAUGGGAGGGGUCCGGGGUUCAAUUCCCCGUUCGUCCA